GACGCACGCUGGCGGCGUGCCUAAUACAUGCAAGUCGAACGCAGUGGGGACGGGUGAGUAACACGUGGGUAACCUCCCAUCAGAGGGGAUCACCCUUGGAAACAGGUGCUAAACCGCUACUGAUGGAUGCACCCGCGGUGCAUUAGCUAGUUGGUGAGGUACAGGCUCACAACGGACCCGAUGCAUAGCCGACCUGAGAUGGUGAUCGCCCACACUGGGACUGAGACACGGCCCAGACUCCGACGGGAGGCAGCAGGAGGGAAUCGUCGGCAAUGGACGAAAGUCUGACCGAGCAACGCCGCGGGAGUGAAGAAGGUCUUCGGAUCGUAAAACUCUGUUGUUAGAGAAGCGGUAUCUAACCAGAAAGCCACGGCUAACUACGUGCCAGCAGCCGCGGUAAGAC
rnacentral:rRNA from 1 species